UACGUAGGGGGCAAGCGUUGUCCGGAGUUACUGGGCGUAAAGGGCGUGCAGGCGGUGCAGUCAGUUUGGAGUGACAGGUCCCGGCUCAACUGGGACAGGCCUCCGAAGACGGCUGGACUUGAGGGCCAGAGAGGGACAUAGAAUUCCGGGUGGAGUGGUGAAAUGCGUAGAUAUCCGGAGGAAUACCAAAGGCGAAGGCAGUGUCCUGGCUGGCAUCUGACGCUGAGGCGCGAAAGCUAGGGGAGCGAACAGG
rnacentral:rRNA from 1 species